rnacentral:rRNA from 1 species
CCAGGCGGCGACGCCGAGCGGAACCCGAAAAGGCGCCUCAGUUCGGAUUGGAGUCUGCAACCCGACUCCAUGAAGCUGGAUUCGCUAGUAAUCGCGCAUCAGCCACGGCGCGGUGAAUACGUUCCCGGGCCUUGUACACACCGCCCGUCAAGCCAUGGGAGCCGGGAGUGCCUGAAGUGCGCGGCCGCGAGGAGCGCCCUAGGGCAAGACUGGUGACUGGGGCUAAGUCGUAACAAGGUAGC